rnacentral:rRNA from 1 species
GAUGAACGCUGGCGGCGUGCCUAAUACAUGCAAGUCGAGCGAACAGACGAGGAGCUUGCUUCUCUGACGUUAGCGGCGGACGGGUGAGUAACACGUGGAUAACCUACCUAUAAGACUGGGAUAACUUCGGGAAACCGGAGCUAAUACCGGAUAAUAUUUUGAACCGCAUGGUUCAAUAGUGAAAGACGGUCUUGCUGUCACUUAUAGAUGGAUCCGCGCUGCAUUAGCUAGUUGGUAAGGUAACGGCUUACCAAGGCAACGAUGCGUAGCCGACCUGAGAGGGUGGUCGGCCACACUGGAAGUGGGACACGGUCCAGACUCCUACGGGAGGCAGCAGUAGGGAAUCUUCCGCAAUGGGCGAAAGCCUGACGGAGCAACGCCGCGUGAGUGAUGAAGGUCUUCGGAUCGUAAAACUCUGUUAUUAGGGAAGAACAAAUGUGUAAGUAACUGUGCACGUCUUGACGGUACCUAAUCAGAAAGCCACGGCUAACUACGUG